GUAGGUGGCAAGCGUUGUCCGGAAUUAUUGGGCGUAAAGCGCGCGCAGGCGGUCCUUUAAGUCUGAUGUGAAAGCCCACGGCUCAACCGUGGAGGGUCAUUGGAAACUGGGGGACUUGAGUACAGAAGAGGAAAGCGGAAUUCCAAGUGUAGCGGUGAAAUGCGUAGAGAUUUGGAGGAACACCAGUGGCGAAGGCGGCUUUCUGGUCCGUAACUGACGCUGAGGCGCGAAAGCGUGGGGAGCAAACAGGAUUAGAUACCCUGGUAGUCCACGCCGUAAACGAUGAGUGCUAAGUGUUAGGGGGUUUCCCGCCCCCCUUAGUGCUGCAGCUAACGCAUUAAGCACUCCGCCUGGGGAGUACGGCCGCAAGGCUG
rnacentral:rRNA from 1 species